CGUCGUGAGACAGUUCGGUCCCUAUCUGCCGUGGGCGCUGGAGAACUGAGGGGGGCUGCUCCUAGUACGAGAGGACCGGAGUGGACGCAUCACUGGUGUUCGGGUUGUCAUGCCAAUGGCACUGCCCGGUAGCUAAAUGCGGAAGAGAUAAGUGCUGAAAGCAUCUAAGCACGAAACUUGCCCCGAGAUGAGUUCUCCCUGAGACUUAGAGUCUCCUGAAGGAACGUUGAAGACGACGACGUUGAUAGGCCGGGUGUGUAAGCGCAGCGAUGCGUUGAGCUAACCGGUACUAAUGAACCGUGAGGCUUAACCUUACAACGCCGAAG
rnacentral:rRNA from 1 species